rnacentral:rRNA from 1 species
GAUGAACGCUGGCGGCGUGCCUAAUACAUGCGAGUAGAACGCUGAAGGAGGAGCUUGCUCUUCUGGAUGAGUUGCGAACGGGUGAGUAACGCGUAGGUAACCUGCCUGGUAGCGGGGGAUAACUAUUGGAAACGAUAGCUAAUACCGCAUGACAACAGUUAUUGCAUGAUAACUGUUUAAAAGGGGCAACUGCUCCACUACCAGAUGGACCUGCGUUGUAUUAGCUAGUUGGUGAGGUAACGGCUCACCAAGGCGACGAUGCAUAGCCGACCUGAGAGGGUGAUCGGCCACACUGGGACUGAGACACGGCCCAGACUCCUACGGGAGGCAGCAGUAGGGAAUCUUCGGCAAUGGACGGAAGUCUGACCGAGCAACGCCGCGUGAGUGAAGAAGGGUUUCGGAUCGUAAAGCUCUGUUGUAAGAGAAGAACGAGUGUGAGAGUGGAAAGUUCACACUGUGACGGUAUCUUACCAGAAAGGGACGGCUAACUACGUG